UACGUAGGGGGCAAGCGUUGUCCGGAUUUAUUGGGCGUAAAGAGCGUGUAGGCGGCCAUACAGGUCAGCUGUGAAAACUCGAGGCUCAACCUCGAGACGUCGGUUGAAACCGUACGGCUAGAGUCCGGAAGAGGAGAGUGGAAUUCCCGGUGUAGCGGUGAAAUGCGUUGAUAUCGGAAGGAACGCCGGUGGCGAAAGCGGCGUGCUGGCCCUCUUCUGACGCUGAGGCGCGAAAGCCAGGGGAGCGAACGGG
rnacentral:rRNA from 1 species